UACAGAGGGGGCAAGCGUUAUUCGGAAUUAUUGGGCGUAAAGGGCGCGUAGGCGGCCAUUCAAGUGACGGGUGAAAGCCCUCGGCUUAACCGAGGAACUGCCUGUCAGACUGGAUGGCUUGAGACCGGGAGAGGUGAGUGGAAUUCCCAGUGUAGCGGUGAAAUGCGUAGAUAUUGGGAGGAACACCAGUGGCGAAGGCGGCUCACUGGACCGGAACUGACGCCGAGGCGCGAAAGCCAGGGGAGCAAACGGG
rnacentral:rRNA from 1 species